AAAAAAUUAGUUAAUGAUAUAAUAUUAGUUUGUCAAACUAAAGUUAUCAAAUUUUUGAUAUUUUUUA
rnacentral:tRNA from 1 species